UCGGUUCAGCAUUAAGGAGCUUCUGAGCUCCCUGAAGAGAGAUGGCGUAAGAGAGCGUCCAGUAGGAGUAAUCAGCGUACACCAGGUUCCUCACAUUCUCCACUGGGACUUCCUCUUCAGGGUUCACCUUCUUCCUGCCCAGUUACCACGACAACCGUGUGACAGACAGGUGUCACUCACAUGAUGUCCCAGUCAAGCUCCACCUGCUCCAGCUCCUCCAUCAGCCGCAUCAGGCGACGCUUAAAUCUAUGGGACAGUCACAGGCCUCCCGGUUUUCAUCCAAAAUAUCUUAAAUUGU